CACACAACAUCCAAGAGCAGGACCUUCCAUGCUGUGGCUGAAUCGAUCACUUUUGAUAAGGCUGGCUGCAGUGCCACAGAGGAGGAUGAGGACUCGACCCGCUGUGGUUUUAUGUGCCACGUGUCUGCAGGCAAAGACGUGCUGUGGAGUUUUAUGACCACGAUGUUUCAGUCUCACAGCCAAACACACCUGCGUCUGGUGGGUUUAAGCCUGUUCAACUGCUACUUUACUAUUCAGU